rnacentral:ribozyme from 1 species
UGCCCAGCAACUCCUAUCCUUACCUCCUCGCGGUACUGGCCGCGGUACGAGUAACCUUAGGGAAGA